GCUGAAAAGCUGCUGCUAUCCAGUUGGGGCUUACCAAAACCUGUACUGGAGCGCUACCAGAAACACGGAGUGACUCACAUGUUCGAAUGGCAGGCUCAGUGCCUCACUGUUGGACAGGUGCUGCAGGGAGGUAACCUGGUGUACUCUGCUCCGACCAGUGCUGGAAAAACUCUGGUGUCAGAGCUGCUGAUGUUGAAGCGAGUGUUGGAGACUAAAAGAAAAGCUCUCUUCAUUCUGCCAUUUGUCUCUGUGGCGAAAGAGAAGAUGCAUUACCUUCAGAGUGUAUUUGAAGAGGCAGGAGUUCGUG